UACGGGGGGGAGCAAGCGUUGUUCGGAUUUACUGGGCGUAAAGGGCGCGUAGGCGGCGCAACAAGUCACUUGUGAAAUCUCCGGGCUUAACCCGGAGCGGUCAAGUGAUACUGUCGUGCUAGAGUGCGGAAGGGGCUACUGGAAUUCUCGGUGUAGCGGUGAAAUGCGCAGAUAUCAGGAGGAACACCGGUGGCGAAGGCGGGUCUCUGGGCCGAUACUGACGCUGGAGGAGCGAAAGCGUGGGGAGCGAACAGG
rnacentral:rRNA from 1 species